GAAGCGGUGGCUCAAUGGUAGAGCUUUCGACUCCAGUUAAAUCCUGGUUAUGAAGGAAAAAUUGCAAUCGAAGGGUUGCAGGUUCAAUUCCUGUCCGUUUCA
rnacentral:tRNA from 1 species